GGGGUCGUGGCGGAAUUGGUAGACGCACUAGCUUGAGGUGCUAGCGGGUGCAAACUCGUCCGGGUUCAAGUCCCGGCGUCCCCA
rnacentral:tRNA from 1 species